GACGAACGCUGGCGGCGUGCUUAACACAUGCCAGUCGAACGAUGAAGCCAGCUUGCUGGUGGAUUAGUGGCGAACGGGUGAGUAACACGUGGGUGAUCUGCCCCAAACUUUGGGAUAAGCCUGGGAAACUGGGUCUAAUACCGAAUAUGACCGAUACUCGCAUGGGUGUUGGUGGAAAGCUCCGGCGGUUUGGGAUGGGCCCGCGGCCUAUCAGCUUGUUGGUGGGGUAAUGGCCUACCAAGGCGACGACGGGUAGCCGGCCUGAGAGGGCGACCGGCCACACUGGGACUGAGACACGGCCCAGACUCCUAUGGGAGGCAGCAGUGGGGAAUAUUGCACAAUGGGCGCAAGCCUGAUGCAGCGACGCCGCGUGAGGGAUGACGGCCUUCGGGUUGUAAACCUCUUUCACCAGGGACGAAGCGAAAGUGACGGUACCUGGAGAAGAAGCACCGGCCAACUACGUG
rnacentral:rRNA from 1 species